CAGCAGCCGCGGUAAUACCCGCGGCCCGAGUGGUGGUCGAUAUUAUUGAGCCUAAAACGUCCGUAGCCGGUCUUGUAAAUCCUUGGGUAAAUCGACCAGCUUAACUGUUCGAAGUCCGGGGAGACUGCAAGACUUGGGAUCGGGAGAGGUGAGAGGUACUUCUGGGGUAGGGGUAAAAUCCUGUAAUCCUAGAAGGACCACCGGUGGCGAAGGCGUCUCACUAGAACGAAUCCGACGGUGAGGGACGAAGCCCUGGGGCGCAAACGGGAUUAGAUACCCCGGUAGUCCAGGGUGUAAACGCUGCGGGCUUGGUGUUGGGGGUCCUUUGAGGGCGCCCAGUGCCGGAGAGAAGUUGUUAAGCCUGCUGCUUGGGGAGUACGUCCGCAAGGAUGAAACUUAAAGGAAUUGGCGGGGGAGCACCGCAACGGGAGGAGCGUGCGGUUCAAUUGGAUUCAACGCCGGACAACUCACCAGGAGCGACGGUUACAUGAAGGCCAGGCUGAUGACCUUGCCUGAUUUUCCGAGAGGAGGUGCAUGGCC
rnacentral:rRNA from 1 species